GGGCCCAUAGCUCAGGCUGGUUAGAGCGACGGUCUUAUAAGCCGUAGGUCAGGGGUUCAAAUCCCCUUGGGCCCA
rnacentral:tRNA from 1 species